UACAGAGGUCCCAAGCGUUGUUCGGAAUUACUGGGCGUAAAGCGUGCGCAGGCGGUCUGUUAAGACCGAUGUGAAAUCCCCGGGCUUAACCUGGGAACUGCAUUGGUGACUGGCAGGCUUUGAGUGUGGCAGAGGGAGGUAGAAUUCCACGUGUAGCAGUGAAAUGCGUAGAGAUGUGGAGGAAUACCGAUGGCGAAGGCAGCCUCCUGGGCCAACACUGACGCUCAUGCACGAAAGCGUGGGGAGCAAACAGG
rnacentral:rRNA from 1 species